GCCGGGCGCAGUGUCCCAUGCCUGUAGUCCCAGCUACUUGGGAGGCUGAGGUGGGAGGAUCGCUUGAGCAAAGGAGUUCUGAGCUGUAGUGCGUUAUGCCAAUCGGGCGUCCACACUAAGUUCGGCAUCGAUAUGGUGACCUCCCGGGAGUGGGGGACCACCAGGUUGCCUAAGGAGGGGUGAACCGGCCCAGGUUGGAAACAGAGCAGGUCAAAACUCCUGUGCUGAUCGGCAGUGGGAUCACGCAUGUGAAUAGCCACUGUACUCCAGCCUUGGCAACAUAGCGAGACCCUGUCUCUU
ensembl:misc_RNA Metazoa_SRP Metazoan signal recognition particle RNA